GACGAACGCUGGCGGCGUGCUUAACACAUGCAAGUCGAACGGAAAGGCCCUGCUUGCAGGGUGCUCGAGUGGCGAACGGGUGAGUAACACGUGGGUGAUCUGCCCCUUACUUUGGGAUAAGCCUGGUAAACUGGGUCUAAUACUGGAUAGGACCAUGCUGUAGGUGGUGUGGUGGAAAGAUUAGUUUCGGUAAGGGAUGAGCUCGCGGCCUAUCAGCUUGUUGGUGGGGUAAUGGCCUACCAAGGCGUCGACGGGUAGCCGGCCUGAGAGGGUGGACGGCCACAUUGGGACUGAGAUACGGCCCAGACUCCUACGGGAGGCAGCAGUGGGGAAUAUUGCACAAUGGGCGCAAGCCUGAUGCAGCGACGCCGCGUGGGGGAUGACGGCCUUCGGGUUGUAAACUCCUUUCAGCCAUGACGAAGCCCUUGUGGUGACGGUAGUGGUAGAAGAAGCACCGGCUAACUACGUG
rnacentral:rRNA from 1 species